GCCAGGUGGUGCUGAGACACUGGAGGUGCUCCAGAAAGGGCAGCACCUCCUCGGUCCUGCCCAGCUGCAGGAAGAGCUUGACGAUGAGGAAGCAGAUGCGGGCCUCCAGCGGAGCGUUGCCCACGGCGAUGGAUUCCCUCAGGAUGUAGGUGAGGAGCUCCAGCUCGUUCUCCGAGCUGAAGGAGCGGCCAGGCAGGCACACCAGCAGGGUCACCGUCUUCCCCAGCAGGGAGGAGAACUUGUGCUUCAUGUUCUGCUUCAGAGCUUCCCCAAGAGGAAACAGAGCCUGACGUGAGCCCAAACGGAACGAGUCCUCUUGGCCCAGUUCCGGGAAGUCUCGAGGUACAGGACCAGUUCAUCCUCAUCAGAGAAACCAUAAAAAGUGGAGUGGAGAAAGGAAAAGCUGAGAUCAUAAAAGCUUUGGAAGCUGGGCACGAAACUGUCUUGGUUGAGGAAGGUCAAUAUGGGGUCAAAGACAUCAGCAUCCUCCAUGUGGCCAGCGUUGAGGUCGAUGAAGAAUUUGGGAUAAUCCAAGUCAUCCAGCUUCUCCAGGAGAACAUCUUCCAGUGUGGCAGGGGCUGUUUCACUGCCUGGGCUGGACAGCUCGGAGGUGCUGCUGGUUGCCCAGUCAUUGAUCUCCUCCCAAGACUGGAGCACCUGCAUUUCUGUACUGCCAUGGAGAGCAACCUCUGGAAGGGAAAGGGAAAUCACAGUGGGAUCAGGAAGAAAUCCUUCCCUGUGGCUGCCCCACCCCUGGAAGUGUCCAAGGCCAGAAGUUGUGUUGCAGAUGAACACAGGAUUCUGGACACCUUCCCCAUCCACAUUCUCCAUGAAGGAACAGAAAGGUGCCAGAGGAAGGGACGCCAAAGCUUCUGCUCACACCUCAAACCCACCCUCUGUAAAGGUCCUGCAAAGGGAGUCACCUGCCCUGGGCUCUCACACAGCCUUGAGGUGGGAUUUGGAGCCUCCCCUCCCUUUUCUCCAUAAUUUAAUUUAAAUAAACUCACAGAGGUUCGCAAGCCUCGGGAUUUACGUGUUGGGUGGGAACGAAGCCAAUGCUCCUGGUGCUGAGGGAUUUGCCCACAAACCAGGGCAGCCCAGGGAUGAAGAACCCAAUGAUUUCUAUGGGAUCUCCUUUGGAGAAGCUCAGCUCAUCCCACGCUGCUCCUCUGUGGUCCUUGGUGGCGAUGCACCUGCCUCUGACUGGGAAACCAAGGCAAAAAAGGGAAUUUCAGUGGGAUCCCUGCUAAAACCUCCUCCCUGGAAAAGACCUGGGCAGGGAGAGGGCUGGAGAGGGCUGCCCCUCUCUCCCGUAAGAUUUAUUGUGAUCUUGGGCUCAGCUCUCUGCCUUUUCUCCUUGAGAAGUGGGUUAUAAUACAAAAUAAAAGAGGGAUGGAUAAACUCCACCCCUCUGUGAGCUGCAGCCUGGGAGGUGACUGGAAAUAUGAAUUUUUACAGACACUGCCCUAUGUCAACUCUGCCAGGAGUGAAACCUUGGACAGUGCAAACGUCCAUCCCUACAUGACAAAGUCACACCUGCAGGGACCUCCUGUGCCCAGCUUGCUCUAAACUGGACUGGACUGGGUUAAGGGCUGGGUGGUGGACACAGGUUUCAUGUGAGCACAAGGUGGGAACCUCAUGAUUUGAAACCUCACUCUCAAAGAAUGAAAAGAAACAUAAAAUUGAAGUAGGACAGGGAAAAGCCAGUGGCAGGAGGGUGUCACCAGCAGCUCUCUCUGCUCCUCAGAACGUGCUUUGCAAGUUCUGAUCUGCAUUCCAGAGAGUCCAGAGGUGCAGCAUUCCCUCAGAGCCCCUGUAGGGGGGUCAGGCCCAGAAGAACAGAUGGAUUUGUGGCCAUUUGUGGGCAAACCCAGGUUUUGUGCCCAGCCCUGGGACAGUGCCUUGCACAGGUGUCACUCACCAAUGGCCCGAGAGCUCGUCCCGCUGAUCUCCUGGGAGAGGCCAAAGCUCACAGAAUAAUUCCUCAGGAACCACCUGCAAGGCAAAAGGGACCCUCAGUGAGCACUCCUGACCUCAGGGAUGGUGUCACACCACAGGGGAAGAGCACGAUAAAUUUGCCAUCUUUCUCCAAGUAAAAGGCUCAGCCAGGUGACAAACAUUAAGUUCCACUUUGGCUGGCAUUGCCUGAUUUUUUUUUUCUGCCACUUCUUCAUCUGUUAAUCAGAGAUAACCUCAUGUAUGACCUCAAUCAAUAUCUUACAAAAACCACAUCUGAAGUAGGAGCAUGUCCUUGCUGUGUCCCAAUGCACCUGCACUGAUUCCAGCCUUUAUGCCUAACGUGGAUCCUCCUGGAAAUAUCCUCAUGGAAUUGUGAGGCUCUUGCCCUUUGCCAAAGACAAGAGGAGUUUCCCAGCCAGCCUUGGUACCAGUCAUGCAUCAGGAUCAGGAAAGAAUCCUGCUCUGAGCCCUUUCAUUCACCACUUACUGGUAAAAGGGGUGAGGUAUGGGCUCCAGAGCAGUCCCGGGCACCACGCCUCGCUGCCCUGUCAGCAGGGACAUCCCUUCCCAUUUGGAAUCCUGUCCAACACUCUUCACGUGGAUCAGCUCGUUCCUGCAGAGCUGCAGACCCUCCUCUCCCUCCUGCUCCAGCUUGCAGACGCCAGGCACUGCCCUGCAGAAAAAGUUCCCUGCAGAGAGAGUCAGAGGUGGGAUCAGUGCACCAGGGGCUGCAGCCCAGCCCUGCCGCAGGAUUUUCAGGAAUUCCCCCGUGUGCAUUCCCAUCACACCUUCCUGGAGGAGCAGAUCCAUGUAGAUGGUGGCCAGGUGCUCCUCAUCCACGGUGACCCUGAUCUCUGUGUCCUCCACCAGGGCACAGUCCAGCCAGAACUCCUGGGCAAAGAGCAGCUGCUCCAGGCAGGUCCCCACGUACCCUGAGGAGCCAAGAGGGGCAGCAGCAUCAGCACCUCCUUCCCUGGGCAGCAGGAGGGGUCUUGGGGAUUUCCAAAUGCCAGGCAAAAGCUUCUAAUUUUGUCUCCAAAAUUUCCCAAAAAGAAUCCUCCUGAUUCUCACUGAUGCAAACAGACAUUUCAUUAACAACAGAGUGCAAAGUUUUCUAAUUCAUUUCUCACUGUCCGGCCUGAACAUUGCAGUUCUGUAGUGUCAGGCCAUGCCUUCUCCAAAAACCCUUCUCACACUGCCUGCUCAGACCUUGGAAACAUUACCUAAGGUCAGAUAGGUGGAAAACUUCCAGACUUCCUCCAGGGUUUUGAAGGUGAGGAGGAAGCGAUCCUCGUGUGCCUGCGUGCAGACCAGCCUGGCUGACAGCUCCUGCACAGGGGACAAAGCAGCAUCAAGGGACACUCCUGGAGCCUUGAAAUCCAGCAGGGAAGGAGAGUGCAGUCCAGGCAUCCUCUCUGUAGCUGGGAUUUGUUUGUAUAAAACCCAGCCUGAGAGCUCUGUGUCUGUCCAGAGCUGUCCCCUCCAGCAGGGACGUGGAUUUGGUGAUCCCAGCCCUGGGAAUUCCUGGCUGUUUAGGCUCAGAUCCCCCAAAACAACACAAGGCCCAGCUUUGCCUCUCACCUACCAUCAGUUCAUCUUCCCCAUCAUUCCAGUCCCCUCCAGAGUCCCCUGCAGUGGCCUUGGAGGAACUCCUCAGCUGGGAUUGGCACCCCAGCACACCUCCCAGCAUUCCAGGAGCACGGCAGCAUGCCAGCUCGGGGUUUGUACCUUGAACAGGGCACAGACACCUCUGUCAUCGCUCUCCAGAGCCCACAGCUUCUUCCUGGCAGCCUCCUGGAGCCGGGCGUUGCGGCAGCGGCAGGAGCGGCUCUCCACGGAGAAGGAGAGCGAGAGCUCUUGGAAGGGAGAAGAGCAGGAUGAAAGGGGAGGAGGAGCUCCGUGGCACCCAGAGCCACCCCUGCCACCCUGCCAGGGCCACCAGAGCCCCCAGCCUGGCUGUGGUGCUCACACAACACGAGCACAGCCCGUGCUCAUCCUUCAGGCACCAGGGCUGGAGUGGCUCUGGAGUGAGGGGAUUUCCCUCCUUUCUCCUGGCAAGACCCUCAGAUGGGCAGAUCUGCUAAAUGAGUGAAUCACCAACAUAGAUUUUUUUGGAGGAGGCCUCAACUCCCCAGCACAGGAGAGCCAAGACCUUGCAAACGUCUUUGUUCAAAAAUUUGAAAAUCAAAAUGAGAUUGUCUCCCCUGCCUGCUCUGCUGGGUAUCCAAAAUCCAAGCAGCAUUCUCCCUGCUCCACACACCAUCAGCUAUUGCCAUAAAGGAUUCAGGGCCUGCAACCUGAGCUGCUAAUUAUGUUAAUGAAAGCUGAGGCACACACAACUCCAGCCCUGCUCUUCCACAGCUGCACUGGCAGUGGAGGGAUAACCAGAUUAAACCCCAAUUUUUGUCAUUAAUCAGACAGGAUUUGUAACAUCAACAUGUACCUGGGGAUGUGGAAUGUGCAGCAGCUUUUUAAAGUCACUUCUUUGACCAGAACUCUGUUCUACAGCUCUUUUCACUGAGCUACCUUUCCAGUCACUCAAAUAAAUUGGUAUUUGCAUGCAGAAAUAGAAUUCUUAUUUCGAGAAAUAGAAUUCUCAUGUAGAGCUAGCAAGUAGAAAAGAACAGCCCAAGGCUGGACAGGCCAUGAAUAAGUUUUGCUUUGAAAGAAAAGAGUCUACAUUGAACAAAGUCUUUACGUUUCAUGUGCCAGCUCCAUGCCCCCCACAUGAGGAAACAGAGAAGGGGAAGUGAAGGGAGGCAGAACCAAAUCUGAGCUGGC